rnacentral:lncRNA from 1 species
GAGAUCCAUUUGCCAGGCUUGACCCAUAUUAAGUGCCACCGGUCACCGCCCAAACAGACAAAAACAUGAAAUUUGGGGGGGAGGAAGCCAAUUCUUGAGGGGUCUGAGCACCCGAGCUCUGAUCACCUUCAGUCAGCAUAGUUUGGGCUCAGCAGCUCAGUGCAUGAGCCAUGGGUCUGCCAGGGAAUAGUGCUUUAACAGAAACUAGGGGUGCUCCUCUUUGGCAUUUGCAGGAAAGAAAAAAAAGAGCAAUUCAUUCACAAAAAAGAAGCCAACCAUCAGUAAUCUGUAAGAAUCAGGCUAAGAUACAAUUGCAGGAGCAGCUGGACGGGGUGGGGAGGGCUGCCUGCACAGCGAUGGACUGAUACCCAGGCAGUCCUUGCCUCUCAGAAAGAGAAAAGUGCUGAGAAAGGGAACAGAACCUGAACUCACAGCCUCCUACACCAAAGUCAGCAGACUGUAUCCCUUUGUGCCAGCCAGCUUAAGGUCUUCGGUCAAAAAUGAAAGCACAAGAAUUUCCAGUGUGUUUAAUUAACAACCACAGGGAGCCUGGUACACAUCACAAAUGGAAUAAAAACAUAUUGAAAAUGGCA